rnacentral:rRNA from 1 species
GUCCUAUAGAUUUUAAUUUUAGGUCUAUCCUGCUCAAUGAUUUUAAUAAUUAAAUGGCUGCAGUAUAUUAACUGUACAAAGGUAGCAUAAUCAUUUGUCUUUUAAUUGGAGGCUUGUAUGAAUGGUUGGACGAAGAAUAAACUUUCUUUAAUUAAUUAUAAUGAACUUAAUUUUUAAGUUAAAAAGCUUAAAUGUUUUUGUAAGACGAGAAGACCCUAUAGAAUUUUAAUGUGAUUUUUAUAAGUUUUAUUGAUUUAUUUUUAUUUAUAUUAAUGACAUUUUUGUUGGGGUGACAAUGAAAUUUUAACAACUUUCAUUAAUUAUUUUUCAUUGAUCUAUGUGUUUAAUGAUCCUCUAUUUGAGAUUAUAAGAUUAAAUUACCUUAGGGAUAACAGCGUAAUUUUUUUGGAGAGUUCAUAUCGAUAAAAAAGUUUGCGACCUCGAUGUUGGAUUAAAGUUAUUUUUGGGUGCAGAAGUUCAUAAAUUUAGGUCUGUUCGACCUUUAAACCUUUACA